rnacentral:rRNA from 1 species
GAUGAACGCUGGCGGCGUGCCUAAUACAUGCAAGUCGAGCGAACAGACGAGGAGCUUGCUCCUCUGACGUUAGCGGCGGACGGGUGAGUAACACGUGGAUAACCUACCUAUAAGACUGGGAUAACUUCGGGAAACCGGAGCUAAUACCGGAUAAUAUAUUGAACCGCAUGGUUCAAUAGUGAAAGACGGUUUUGCUGUCACUUAUAGAUGGAUCCGCGCCGCAUUAGCUAGUUGGUAAGGUAACGGCUUACCAAGGCAACGAUGCGUAGCCGACCUGAGAGGGGGAUCGGCCACACUGGAACUGAGACACGGUCCAGGCUCCUACGGGAGGCAGCAGUAGGGAAUCUUCCGCAAUGGGCGAAAGCCUGACGGAGCAACGCCGCGUGAAUGAUGAAGAUCUUCGGAUCGUAAAACUCUGUUAUUAGGGAAGAACAAAUGUGUAAGUAACUAUGCACGUCUUGACGGUACCUAAUCAGAAAGCCACGGCUAACUACGUG